CCUACGGGAGGCAGCAGUGAGGAAUAUUGGACAAUGGGCGCAAGCCUGAUCCAGCCAUGCCGCGUGCAGGAUGACGGUCCUAUGGAUUGUAAACUGCUUUUAUACAGGAAGAAACACCCCGACGUGUCGGGACUUGACGGUACUGUAAGAAUAAGGAUCGGCUAACUCCGUGCCAGCAGCCGCGGUAAUACGGAGGAUCCAAGCGUUAUCCGGAAUCAUUGGGUUUAAAGGGUCCGUAGGCGGUUAGAUAAGUCAGUGGUGAAAGCCCAUCGCUCAACGGUGGAACGGCCAUUGAUACUGUUUAACUUGAAUUAUUAGGAAGUAACUAGAAUAUGUAGUGUAGCGGUGAAAUGCUUAGAGAUUACAUGGAAUACCAAUUGCGAAGGCAGGUUACUACUAAUGGAUUGACGCUGAUGGACGAAAGCGUGGGUAGCGAACAGGAUUAGAUACCCUGGUAGUCCACGCCGUAAACGAUGGAUACUAGCUGUUGGAAGCAAUUUCAGUGGCUAAGCGAAAGUGAUAAGUAUCCCACCUGGGGAGUACGUUCGCAAGAAUGAAACUCAAAGGAAUUGACGG
rnacentral:rRNA from 1 species